AAAUUGAAGAGUUUGAUCAUGGCUCAGAUUGAACGCUGGCGGCAGGCCUAACACAUGCAAGUCGAACGGUAACAGGAAGCAGCUUGCUGCUUUGCUGACGAGUGGCGGACGGGUGAGUAAUGUCUGGGAAACUGCCUGAUGGAGGGGGAUAACUACUGGAAACGGUAGCUAAUACCGCAUAACGUCGCAAGACCAAAGAGGGGGACCUUCGGGCCUCUUGCCAUCGGAUGUGCCCAGAUGGGAUUAGCUUGUUGGUGGGGUAA
rnacentral:rRNA from 1 species